CGCGUAGGCGGAUUAGAAAGUUGGGGGUGAAAUCCCGGGGCUCAACCCCGGAACUGCCUCCAAAACUACUAGUCUAGAGUUCGAGAGAGGUGAGUGGAAUUCCGAGUGUAGAGGUGAAAUUCGUAGAUAUUCGGAGGAACACCAGUGGCGAAGGCGGCUCACUGGCUCGAUACUGACGCUGAGGUGCGAAAGUGUGGGGAGCAAACA
rnacentral:rRNA from 1 species